rnacentral:rRNA from 1 species
UUAAGGUCUAACCUGCCCAAUGAGGAUUUAAAUGGCCGCAGUAUUUUGACUGUGCAAAGGUAGCAUAAUUAUUAGUUUUUUAAUUGAAAGCUUGUAUGAAUGGUUGGACGAGAUAAAAUCUGUCUCUAUUUAAUUAAAAGUAGAAUUUAACUUUUGAGUCAAAAGGCUUAAAUGAUUAUAAAAGACGAGAAGACCCUAUAGAUCUUUAUUUAAUUAGUACUUUAAUAAUUUAGGAUUUUUUUAGUUUAAAGUUUUAAUUAAAUUUUAUUGGGGUAAUAUAAAGAUCAAAUAAAUUCUUUUUAUUUAUUACAUUAAUUUAUGAACAUAUGAUCCAAUAUUAUUGAUUAUAAGAUUAAGUUACCUUAGGGAUAACAGCGUAAUUUUUUUGGAGAGCUCAUAUCGAUAAAAAAGUUUGCGACCUCGAUGUUGGAUUAAAAAUUAGCUUGGGUGCAGAAGCUCGAGAUUUUGGUCUGUUCGACCAUUAAAUUUUUACAUGAUCUGAGUUCAGACCGGCGUAAGCCAGGUCGGUUUCUAUCUUUAUUUAAAUGAAAUAUUUUAGUACGAAAGGACCAAAUAUUUAAUAUAUUUAUAUUUAAUUUUUGAACAAUAUUAUUACUUUGGCAGACUAGUGCAAUGAAUUUAGAAUUCAUGAAUGUAAAUUUUUUACAAGUAAUACUUGUAUUUAGGAGAUUCAAUUUCAAUAGUAUUAUGUAUAUUAAUUCUCGUAAUUUGUGUACUAGUUGGGGUAGCUUUUUUGACAUUAUUAGAGCGUAAGGUUUUAGGUUAUAUUCAGAUUCGUAAGGGCCCGAACAAGGUGGGAUU